AUCUGGUCCCGGCACGCCUCGCGCAGGUUGCGCAUCCAGCGCUGGAUGCCGCGGCGGUUUAGGUAGAGCACCAUGAGGAAGAUGAGGCCGAUGAGUGCCAGCACCAGCCCGAAGAACACGUAGGAGGCUUCCAGCUCCGGGCCGGCGGCCUCCGCCUCCUCUCCGCGAGCGUCGGCGCCGCUGUCCGCGCAGCGAAGCCGCGCCCCGUCCAGGUCCAGUAGCGGCCGGUCUAGCAGCGCCCGCGGGGCGGCGCAGCGCAGGCGCCGCGAGUCGGGCACGCGCUCCGUGGCGUUGCGCAGCCAGGCCAGCAGGGGGCGUGCGGCACAGCCGCAGCGCAGGGGGUUGUCGGCGAGCAGCAGGCGCGGCCCGGGGAGGCCGCCAUCGCGCUCCAGCGCGCGCAGCUCGUCGGGGUCCAGGCCGGCCAGCGCGUUGAGGCGCACGUCCAGCUGCUCCAGGCGCGCCAGGCGCAGGGCGGCUGGCGGCAGACGGCUCAGCGCGUUGCCCGCUAGGCCCAGCAGGCGAAGCUCGGCCAGCGGUGCCAGCGCAGCGUCCAGCGCGGCCAGCAGCGCGGGGCCGCCGCGCACCAGCGCGUGGUUGAGCUGCAGCGAGCGCAGCGCGGGCAGCCCGCGGAAGGCGCCGCCGCCCAGGGCGCGCAGCGGGUUGUGGCUGAGGUCGAGCGCCGCCAGGCUGGGCAGCCCGUCGAAGGCGCCGUCCUCCACCACCUCGAUGUGGUUGUGCGUGAGGCGCAGCGCGCUCAGGAGCGGCAGGCGCACGCCCGCCGCCUGGUCGCCGUCCCCGUCCCCGCCGGCGAAGGCGGCCGCGCGCAGCACCGUCAGGUUGGCGCCUACGAUGGUGAGGUUGCGCGCGUCGGGCGGCACGUCCCGCGGAGGCUGGCGGAGCUCGGCUCCCGACGCGCAGCGCAGCAGCAGCUUGGGGCCGCCGAAGCAGUAGCACUGGAAGGGGCAGGGUGCCGCGGGCUGGCUCAGCGCCGCCGCCACGAGCAGCAGCCCCUGGAGCCCCGGCUGUCCCGCGCGCGGGGCCAUCGCGGCCGCCCCCGCAUCCAGCGCCCGGGCCGCCGCGCUCACCAGUGAGUUGGGAGCGCCUGGUGGGGGGCACGGGUGGGGCGAGUCCUUGACCCGGAGCGGCUGGCAGUCCCGGUCGGUCCGUUCGCUGUCUCGAAAGUCUGAGGAGCCGCACUUACUGGCUGACUGGCCGGGGGCAAGAGGGGUCAGACGGGGAGCGGAGCCCCCCGCCCCCGGUGCCCUCGCCCUGCGCGCCGGCCUCCGGCUUCCGCGGCCGCUCCGGGCUCCGAGCCGAGUGGGCAGGGUUUGCCUCCCCCCUCCCCGCCUCCCGGUCUCGUCCUCCGCCCCCAGCGGAGUCUCCGCGCCCUCCUCGCCGUGGGAGGCGGGGUGGGAGGCUCCCGAGAAUCAGGGCUGUCGGCUGCUGCGCUUUCUCUUCAUCCUCUCCGCCCCCGCCCCUCCGGGCUGCCGAGAAGUUUGGCUCCUGGAGGCUCCGACUUGGUUUUCCUCCUCCUCCACCCCCAACAUUUAAGCUGGGUCCUUCCUCCUCCUUCUCCAGCACGUGUGGGGCGGGGCCCGACUGCGGAGAGCAGGCAGGUGGGUCACCACCAGGGAGAAUUCGGGGGUUGGGGAGGACUUUAGAGCUGCUCCUACUACCGGAGGAAGGGAUGAGGGGUGGGCUGAGAAAGUUACUCAUUUUCCGGCCUCUUCCUAAGGCAGAGAGACUGGAAAAUCCCCAGUCUCUGCUUCCUCCUCUGCGACCCUAGUUCCAUUAGACCUGGCUGUGUCACCACCCCUGCAGGUCCUAUGGGACCAGCUUUUUCUCCAUCCCAUCCCAUCCCAUUCUCAGGAGAAGUCUGUGGCACCCGCUCCCCUCCCACCCACCAACUCUGGCUGCUCUGCCUCUGCCAGGAGUUCCCCCGUGUGGUUUCCUCCACCGGGCUGGGCUUCUCUGCCAAGCACUGUCCUAGGCACAGAGACCCGGGGGUGUAGUGAUUCUGCUCUUUGCUUUCACUCCCUGCCCCCAAACCUCUUAAGACUCCUGGGGUUCCGUUGGACACUGUCAACUAGUCCCUCCAGGCUUCUCCGCCUGUGAGUGGGGUUUGGGGCACCAGAGGUUGGGAGAGCAGGAGCAGAUUUUGCAGCAUGGAGUUGGGGGUCUCAGAAGGGGCCAGGGCUGAGGGUGGGGGGGCUGAGCUGUUUACAGAUUUGUUUUGUUCUGGAUUUUUUUUCCCCCAGAACUGGGAAGCUCUAAACCUGAUUUAAAGAGACAGGCUCCUGAGAAGGGAGGAUUCCUGGCCUUAGCAUGAAUUAUUCAGGCUGGAGAGGCUGACACUUGAUCCGCAGGCCAUUCGGGUAUCAGCAGAGCUGGUUGGAAUAGAGGCUCCCCACCUCCUCCCAAGAAUCAGUCUCUUUCUCCUGAAUUGGGUGCUUCCCGUCUAAAUUCUCCUGGAACCAAUUUCUCUCUGUCCAAGUUCCCCAAGGAAUCAAGUCUGCGAGCCAUUGGGGCUGAGGGAUCUCUGUUCUUUGGAGGAACAGCGCUCUCCAUCUUAGAUUUGCCAGUGUUCAGUAUGCAUUAAGUGUUCAAUAAAUGUGUGUCCACUUGAGUCUGAGGCUGUGUGUUUAUUCUCUGAUGCAUCUGGUGGAAGUCUCUUUUCUUGGACUGUUUGCCCCAGCUGGGGUGCUCUCCUCUUGAUUCUGUUUCUCCAGUCCAGUCAGCUGUCCCUCAGGACUUGUGAGUUUUGCCCCCUUCAGGGAGCCCUCAUGGCUUCCCUCUCCAUCCUUUGAACUUCACUGAUCAAUUAGAGGGCUAAGACUCCCCUGAUCUUCUUGACUGUCAGCAGCUAGGGCUCAGGUCUGGUCUAAUUUCUUAGGGAUCAGUACAGAGAAGGCACCAGGGAAUAUUUGCUGACUGAAAUAAUGAUUUAAAAAUCUGUGACUCGAGCCUCUCAUCCCUAUGAGGCAAGCUCGGUGAGGACCCCUCAUCUACACUUCAUACCAGGAGAUAGCUGCUCAGAAAUGUUAAGUGCUUUCCCCAAGGUUGCACACCUGACUGGGACCUGAGCCAGAUAGAAGCUCGGGUUUCUUGCCCAUCUCCUUUGCCGCAGCCCCCCCUCAUCCUAGGAUCCCUCUCUCCUGGGAGUGUGGCUGGGUCAGAUCCCAGGGGAGCCUGUGGGCAAAGAGCUCACGCCCUCAGGGUUUCCUUAGGACUCGGAAGAAGCGAGGCACCCCUCGCCACCCAAGCAGAGUGAUCAUCUGCCCUUUGCCCAGAUGAGUACCCCUCAUGUCAGCCACACUGGAUCUUCACGCUUGCUUGAAUUUAUUACUCCACUAGGUCCCAGAGCCCUUCUCUUAGUAUUCCAAGGUGUUGUCUCUACCUGAGCCUCUAGUGCCUUCGCUGGGCCUUUUCUGCUGGCACAGACCCUGCUGUUGAUCAGCUCCACUAAGCCUUGGUAGGGAGCACAGAGUGUGAUGACGUCCCUGAGAUCACCCAGCAGGUAGCCCCUUCUCCAGCUCUGUUUUGUCAUCAGAGGUGUGUCAAUAUUAUUAAAGUCCUUGGACACACCUCAGUUUCCCUGUCUGCAAAAAAGUGUGUGUGGAUGGGAUGGUCCUGGGGGGCCUAGUAGUCUUGUGCCCCUUGGCAUUUUAGGGAUGGGGGUCAGGGAGGGGAAGGUCAUACUGGGAUUUGCCCAAGUUGGUGCCCCCACCUUCUCAAUAUAUGACCUUGAACUUGGUACCACCCCAAUUAAGGCCUUGGUUGCCCGACUAGAAAGUGGUAGGGGUGGCUGGGUGUGGUGCCUCAUGCCUGUAAUCCCAGAACUUUGGGAGGCCGAGGUGGGCAGAUCACAAGGUCAGGAGAUUGAGGCCAUCCUGGCGAACAUGGUGAAACCCCGUCUCUACUAAAAAUACAAAAAAGAAUUAGCCGGGCGUGGUGGUGGGCACCUGUAGUCCCAGCUACUCAGGGGGGCUGAGGAAGAAAGUGGUAGGGGUGGUCUGGGGUCCUUCUGGAGCGGAUGCUGUAGCAUCCUGAGAUCCAGGCUCCCUUUGUCCUCUGUCCCAGCAGCCCUCCUGCUGCCUUCCCAUCCCUCUGUUCCCCCCUCCUCCAAGGCAAAUGGAGGAGCAGCAGGCGGCCUGACGUGAUGAACUCAGCCACGAGGUAGUGGGGGAGGCCCCAGCUUCUCUCCUCUUGCUUGGCUUCCUUGCCAGCAGGGACGGGAGACUUCACUGUGGGCCUUGCCAUUCCCAUUUCUCACUCCCCCUCCCCUCCCCCACUGCUGUGAGACACAGGAAAAUCCAUAGGCCCAAGAUUCAUUUUCUCCGUUGAGUCAGCAGAGGCCAGCGCUGCUUCUGAGGGGCAGGCAACUGGCUUUUAAAUAACUCUCUGAUAUUUAAUACCCUCCUCCUCCGCUCUGUGGCCUGGGCCUCUGGGGAAAGGCUAGAAUAAAUGAGCUGGAUGCGUCCUCCGAAAGUCCUAAAUGUUCUUACCCCCACCUCAGUCUUCCCCCCAACCCCCAACUCUCAGACCAUUGGAAAAGAUGACUCCUUACUACAUCUGUACCUUGCUUUACAGUUUCUAAGUGGUGGCAGGCUGGGUUUGUUGUCCCAGUUUAGAAUGGGAAAUGGACAUUUAGAAAAGGAGAGAGAUCCCACUUGACUUUUGGUCUUUGUCUGCUGUUGGCUGGCUGUGUGGCUGUGGGCAGGUGGGUCCCUGUCCCUCCCUGGGCUUCUGUUUCCUCAUCUGUGCUGCAAGGUGGUUCGGCCAGUGGGUUGUUGUUGGUCCCCCUUGGCUGUGUAAUGUUAUGAUUUGCUGUGCUGGCCUAGGUCUCCUUCCCUAAUGAAGCCUCUGUUUCUCCACUCCUCUUCAAGGAAAGGCUAAAGGGCAGAGCCGACUGAGGCUAAAGGCCAGCUAAGGUCUGACCCCUAGGAUUCCACUCUGUUGAGUCAGGGACAGGAGUGGGUAGGGGAGAGGGGAAAGGGAAAGGAGCAGAGUUGGGUGCCUUCCCUUCCCUUCCCUUGUCUUCCCUUCCCUCCCCUCCACUCCCCUCCCCUUUCAUUAUUUCUUGCUUUUGCCAGUAGAGGUUGGGACAGACCAAGGGCAAUAACCUGUCUUGGUUCUCUUAAAACCCAAGGUCUCUACCACUGUGGAUGCAGUUUAAUGAGGUGGGAGCAAAACCCUCUUCCUCAGCUGUGCCCAGGCCCAGGAUCCUGAUCAUGGAAGUUAGUGGGCCCAGUUCUCCUGGUUUUGCCACUGUUCUGCAUUAUUCAGAAGACAGGGAUUGAUAUCUCUGUUGGCUAUAUGAGAACACUGGGAGGUUAAGAGCUGUGCUUGGGGUCAUCCCAGAUUAAUGAUGGAACAGGGCCUAUAAUCUAGGUUUUCUGAUUCCCAACUCCGUGUUCAUGCCACUUCCCUGAUUCAGGCAGGAAGUUGGGGCCUGAGGGGUGAGCAUGGGAGAGGCAGCUGGUUCUGUAGGGGUGACCUUUGUUUGCCCAACUUCUUUAGCCUCCUCUUGGGUCCUCAUGCUCUUCUUCAAUGUACUGAGCCUUCUGCUUCUAGAAUCACAGAAUCUUGGAAUCAAAACAUUGACUGCUAAGAACCACAGACUCAGAGAGCCAUAGAACUGUGGUCUCUGAAUUAGAACAAAGACUUAUGGUAUUGGUAGUAUGGUGGUGGUGAAUGAGACACUUAGAGCUUGUGGUAGGUUGUUAAUAUUGAUGGUCCCAAAUGAAUUCUGCGUAUCUGAGUCCAUACUUUUAUGUUGUCCCACCCCAUACUGACUUUGGGUUGGCCGUGUGACUUCCUCUGGUUAAUGAGACGUCAGCAAAUGUGAUGCAAGGAGAGUCUUAAAAAGUGCUUGUGCAUUGGGAUUCACCUCUUCUUGCUCCCCUGAAACUGCCAUGUGUAGGAACACAAGCAUGCCUUUUAGAGGAAGAGACCAGAAGUAAACCAUCCCAGCUGGAGAUGAACCAGCUCCCUGAUGGUCUUCCGCCUGCCUCCAGCCACCUGAGUGACCCCAGAUAAGACCAACAGAACUACUCAGCUGACCCGAGCCCAAAUUUCUGACUCACAGAAUUGUGAACAAAUAAAAUGGUGGUUGUUUUAAGUCACUAAGUUUUGGGGUGGUUUGUUACACAGCAGUAGAUAACGGAUGCAGAACCUCAUCAUUGUAGAAUCUUGGUCAUAGAUCCAAUAUGCCCUGACAGUCACAGCAUCGUGGAACCCCAGGACCAGAAACUGGAACCACUGAUGUAGAAUCCAAGAAACAGAAGAGUCCUGAAAACGCCUUAACUCCCACCCAAUGGUACCCUCUCCUUUCACUGUCAGACCAGGUGACCACUCAUCUUUCAACGUUGAGCCCUCUCCCCACCCACAGGUGUCUCUUAUUCUUUAGCGUUG
rnacentral:lncRNA from 10 species